AGAUUCCGUCCUUAGCAUCAGGAAAGAAAAGACCCCGGCUGUGAGCUCCUUGUCCCACCUUCUUUCACUCCACACGUCCGUCUCCAUCUUUCUCCAUCAGGGGCCUUUCUGGGCAGGGCACUUGCUUGAUCACAUCCCCAGUUUUCCAUCCAGGACUUGUGAAAACUCCUCCAGGCCUGGCUCUUGUGUGCUGGACCUUCUCUUGAGUGGUUAGUUAUAAAACUUGAUGCUUCUGCAGGCAGAUGAUGGCAGAAAGCUCCCGCCCCACGACACUGAUGAUGGCAGAAAGCUCCCGCCCCACCACACUGAUGAUGGCAUUCUCGUUGGGUGGUUGUGUGGUCUUCAUACAAUUUCAGGGUAAAUCGCCACUUGAUGUCAUUGCUAAAUGGGAUACCUGAGCUAUGAUGAUUUUGCCUGAUUGUUAAAGUUAGUAUUUUAAGACCAAGGAUGGACAAAAUACGUUAAAAUUGUCUGUAAAAAGGCACAACAUUUCUGAGUUUGCUUUUAAUACUUUAAAAG
rnacentral:lncRNA from 1 species